rnacentral:rRNA from 1 species
CAGCAGCCGCGGGAACACGUAGGUGGCAAGCGUUGUCCGGAAUUAUUGGGCGUAAAGGGCUCGCAGGCGGUUUCUUAAGUCUGAUGUGAAAGCCCCCGGCUCAACCGGGGAGGGUCAUUGGAAACUGGGAAACUUGAGUGCAGAAGAGGAGAGUGGAAUUCCACGUGUAGCGGUGAAAUGCGUAGAGAUGUGGAGGAACACCAGUGGCGAAGGCGACUCUCUGGUCUGUAACUGACGCUGAGGAGCGAAAGCGUGGGGAGCGAACAGGAUUAGAUACCCCAGUAGUCCCUGUCUCUUAUAC